UACGGAGGGUGCAAGCGUUGUCCGGAUUUAUUGGGUUUAAAGGGUGCGUAGGUGGCCUUAUAAGUCAGUGGUGAAAGCCUGCAGCUUAACUGUAGGACCGCCAUUGAUACUGUAGGGCUUGAGUACUGAUGAGGUAGGCGGAAUUGAUAGUGUAGCGGUGAAAUGCAUAGAUAUUAUCAAGAACACCGAUUGCGAAGGCAGCUUACUAAGGAGUUACUGACACUGAGGCACGAAAGCGUGGGGAUCAAACAGG
rnacentral:rRNA from 1 species